rnacentral:ncRNA from 10 species
ACACCUCUUCGCCACUGGCAGAUAAGUGGACAAAACCACAGGGCGGCGCAGGGGAUUGGGUUUACGCCGGCUGCCUGGGCAACAUGG